GUGAUCUGCCUGCCUCAGCCUCCCAAAGUGCUGGGAUUACAGGCGUGAGUCACCGCACCUGGCCUCAUCUCUCUUUCGUGAAGCCAGCAUUGUCCCCAGACAUCUCAGUCCUCAGUGUCCCUCCCGUCCCCACCUCUGGCAAGAGGCAGCAUUCUGGCCUUGGUGGAGGGGAAUGACAUCAGGCAGUGGCUGACAAUUCUCCCCUUGGUGGAGGGGAGGCCGUAGAUGAUGUCCUGGUGUCUGGUGUUCUGAUGGCCUCAGCAAUACCUACCCCAUGGACCCGAGUCCCUCCACAUCUCGUCCUUGGCCCUUCCUUCCUUCAUGCCUUCUAGCAGAUGCGGGUGGGCUGUCUGUUGUUCCUGUAGCACACAGGGUCAGGGUGGGCAUCAGUCCUGCCUUUCUUCUGAGACCCUCCAGCUUGCACCUUCUGGAAGCUGGGCACCCCCACUGCCCCACCAACCAGCUGGGAGAACAUAAAGGUAACGAAAUAGAAUUACUUGUUUUAGAAAAAGGAACCAGGGCCGGGUGCGGUGGCUCACGCCUGUAAUCCCAGCACUUUGGGAGGCCGAGGCAGGCAGAUCACGAGGUCAAGAGAUUGAGACCAUCCUGGCCAACAUGGUGAAACCCUGUCUCUACUAAAAAUACAAAAAUCAGCUGGGCGUGGUGGCGCAUACCUGUAGUCCCAGCUACUUGGGAGGCUGAGGCAGGAGAAUUGCUUGAACCUGGGAGGCGGAGGUUGCAGUGAGCCGAGAUUGCACCACUGCGCUCCAGCCUGGCGACAGAGUGAGGCUCUGUCUCAAAAAAAAAAAUAAAUAAAUAAAAUAACCUAUGCAUAUGCAAUUUUAAACACAACUUGCAGAGCUUCAUGUACUCGCUUCCUGAGGCUGCCAUAACAAAGGACUACAAACUGGGUGGCUUAAGACAAUGGGAAUGUUCUCUCACAGUGCCAGAGAGAGACCAGAGUCUGGAAUCAAGGUGUCCUCAGGGCUGUGGGGGAGAAUCCAGCCUCUCCCAGGAAUUCCUUGGCUUGUGGCCACAUCACUCCACUGUGCUUCCAUCUUCACGUAGCCAUCUUUCCGUUCUGUGUCCAAAUCUCCCUCUUUUUGUAAGGACACAAGUCCUGUUUGAUUAGGUCCCACCCUAAUGAUCUCAUGUUAACUUGAUUACAUCUGCAAAGACCCCACUUCCAAAUAAGGUCACCAUUCACAGGUACUGGGGCUUAGGACUUCAACAUAUCUUUUGUUGGGACAUGACUCAACCCAUAACAGUAUGGAAAGGUUCUCUUC
rnacentral:lncRNA from 1 species